GACGAACGCUGGCGGCGUGCUUAACACAUGCGAGUCGAACGGAAAGGCCCUGCUUUUGUGGGGUGCUCGAGUGGCGAACGGGUGAGUAACACGUGAGUAACCUGCCCUUGACUUUGGGAUAACUUCAGGAAACUGGGGCUAAUACCGGAUAGGAGCUCCUGCUGCAUGGUGGGGGUUGGAAAGUUUCGGCGGUCGGGGAUGGACUCGCGGCUUAUCAGCUUGUUGGUGGGGUAGUGGCUUACCAAGGCUUUGACGGGUAGCCGGCCUGAGAGGGUGACCGGCCACAUUGGGACUGAGAUACGGCCCAGACUCCUACGGGAGGCAGCAGUGUGGAAUAUUGCACAAUGGGCGGAAGCCUGAUGCAGCAACGCCGCGUGCGGGAUGACGGCCUUCGGGUUGUAAACCGCUUUCGCCUGUGACGAAGCGUGAGUGACGGUAAUGGGUAAAGAAGCACCGGCUAACUACGUG
rnacentral:rRNA from 1 species